UACAGAGGGUGCGAGCGUUGUUCGGAAUUAUUGGGCGUAAAGGGCGCGUAGGCGGUGCCACAAGUCACUUGUGAAAUCCCCAGGCUUAACCUGGGGCCUGCAGGCGAAACUGUGGUGCUGGAGUGUGGGAGAGGUGCGUGGAAUUCCCGGUGUAGCGGUGAAAUGCGUAGAUAUCGUAAGGAAGACCAGUGGCGAAGGCGGGUCUCUGGACAGUUCCUGACGCUGAGGCACGAAGGUCAGGGGAGCAAACGGG
rnacentral:rRNA from 1 species